AACCAUGAGCUCUUAUAAAACAUAGAGAGAAAGCUUCUUGGCAUUGAUCUGGGACAUGAGUUUUUGGAUAUGACCCCCAAAGCAUAGACAACAAA